rnacentral:rRNA from 1 species
CCUACGGGAGGCUGCAGUAGGGAAUAUUGGUCAAUGGGUGAGAGCCUGAACCAGCCAUGCCGCGUGCAGGAAGACGGCCUUCUGGGUUGUAAACUGCUUUUAUCUGGGGAUAAAAAGGCCUUGCGAGGCACAUUGAAGGUACCAGAUGAAUACGCACCGGCUAACUACGUGCCAGCAGCCGCGGUCAUACGUAGGGUGCACGCGUUUUCCGGAUUUAUUGGGUUUGAAGGCGGUCUAUUAAGUCAGUUAUGAAAUCCAACAGCUCAACUGUUGAUGUGCCAAUGAUACUGAUGGACUUGAGUACAGACGAGGUAGGCGGAAUUGACAGUGUAGCGGUGAAAUGCAUAGAUAUUGUCAAGAACACCGAUAGCGAAGGCAGCUUGCUAGCCUGUAACUGACGCUGAGGCACGAAAGUAUGGGGAUCAAACAGGAUUAGAUACCCCUGUAGUC